ensembl:lncRNA
UGGGGGUUUUGCGAAGAGAAAACGUGUGAUUUUCGCUUAAAUGUGGGAUUUCUGAAGAGAAAACUCGUGGUUUUUUGUGUUAAUUGGGGGAUUUGCGAAGAGAAAACGCGUGAUUUUCGGGUUAAAUGGGGGAUAUUCGAAGAGAAAACGCGUGUUUUUCUGGUAAAAUGGGGGAUUUGCGAAGAGAAAAUGCUUGGUUUUCUGGUUAAAUGGGGGAUAUGCGAAGAGAAAACGCGUGACUUUCGCUUAAAUGUGGGAUUUGAGAAAACGCGUGAUUUUCGCUUAAGUGUUGGAUUCUCGGAGAGAAAACACGUGUUUUUCGCUUAAAUGGGGGAUUUCCGAAGAGAAAACGCAUCAUUUUCUGGUUAAAUGGGGGAUUUGCGAAGAGAAAACGCGUGUUUUUCGCUUAAAUGGAAGACUUGCAAAUUGAAAAUGUGCGAUUAUCGGGUUAAAGUGGGAUUUUCGAAGAGAAAACACGUGUUUUCCACAUAAAUGGGGGAUUUGCGAAGAGAAAACGCGUGAUUUUCGGGUUAAAUGGGGGAUUCCUGAAGAGAAAACGCGUGAUUUUCAAGUUAAAUGGGGGAUUUGCAAAGAGAAAACGUGUGAUUUUCGCUUAAAU